GUCCACGCCGUAAACGAUAACCACUAGAUGUUGGUUCGGCUUAGCUGGAUCAGUGUCGUAGCUAACGCGUUAAGUGGUUCGCCUGGGGAGUAUGGUCGCAAGGCUAAAACUUAAAAGAAUUGACGGGGUCCGCACAAGCGGUGGAACAUGUGGUUUAAUUCGACACUACGCGAGAAACCUUACCUGGACUUGACAUGUAUUUGACAGUUGUAGAAAUAUGAUCUUUUAGGCUUCGGUCUAAACAGAUACACAGGUGCUGCAUGGCUGUCGU
rnacentral:rRNA from 1 species